AGCAGGUCAGGCAGCAUCCAAGGAGCAGGAAAAUCAACAUUUCGGGUAAAAGCCCUUCAGGCCGGGACAAAGCAAAGAACGAGAAAUACACUGGCUGCAGACAUGGAUGGUCUCUCAGAAUGCCUUUGCGACUGCACAAUGCAGCAAAGAAGAUGUGACAGAGCAGGAGAGGCUUCCAGAGGACAGAAAAAGAGAACAUUUCCACAGAAGUCUUUACAUCAACCUUCCGAGAAGCAGUUAGCUGAAAAUUCUAAUAUCCAAGAAACUUUUUAAAGAUAGCAAUAACAUGAAAAGAACACAUAUUUCACAUUUAACAAUGAAUGUACAUAGACAAAGAGAAUACACACAUACAAAGAUGAAGCUUAUGCAUUAACCCUUUCCUUGCAGUGAUGGUACAAUUUAUGGAGGAAUAUCAUGAUCUACAUAAGCCAGCCAUGGAAUCCAUCGAAAAUCCAUAUAAAAGACAACAGUGGAAUGGCAUGUUUAAGUUCAUACGGUAAUGAAAUAAAGGAACCUGGAGUUUAUGCCACUUUGUUACCUUAAGGAUGCAGCUAGUUCGGACAAAAGGCAAAGGAAACAGUGUUAUGAGUUUACAGGCAUGGAUCUCUGAACUACCAACUGAGGAAAAUGAAAGGUUGAUGCCCACCAUGCAUACCUGCAAUGGUACAUACCUUAGAGAAAAGUAACUUCAAAAAGUAUUGUUAUAUACAUUGAUCUCAAAAACAAUUACUGCAUGAAAUUAACCAUCAUGGAUAUUGGAUUGUUGACUGUAUCACAAUUUCUUUCAUAUUUAAAUUGUCCAAAAUAAACUAUUGUAUCAUCUUUGUAUAUAAGUUGCUUGGCCCAUUUCCUAUGCUGUACACUGGGAUAUCGAGAGGUUAUGUCAUUACGUAAAGUUACAAUCCCACUCUUGACAAAGUCGUCGUAGAGAGUAAAGAUUUCAUCAAAAUAAGCAAAAUUCUCCAAUUGACCCAUCUGAUAGUCCAUUUUUUCUGAGUCUAAGAUUUCCUGUACCCAAUAAGAGUUAUUAUUCAUUACAAAUAAAUGGAUUAUAACUAUAAACAAACACUAUGAACUAUUAGCAUAUAGCUUGACUGGUUAAGGUCAGAACUCACAUGACACCAGGUUAUAGUUCAACAUAUUUAUUUAAAAUCACAAGCUUUUGAAACAUUGCCCCUUUAUCAGGUGAAGUGAAGGGAAGCGCACAGGCACAGAACAUAUAGGCAGACAGAUCAAAAGAUUUUACAAAUGGUGCGAAUGGAGAGUCAACAGGCUGAAUAAUAAGUCUCUGCAGAUGAUCAAAAGUGUCAGACAGUGCGAAUAAAGU